UACGAAGGGGGCUAGCGUUGCUCGGAAUUACUGGGCGUAAAGCGCACGUAGGCGGCUUUCUAAGUCGGGGGUGAAAUCCUGGAGCUCAACUCCAGAACUGCCUUCGAUACUGGAAAGCUCGAGUCCGGGAGAGGUGAGUGGAACUGCGAGUGUAGAGGUGAAAUUCGUAGAUAUUCGCAAGAACACCAGUGGCGAAGGCGGCUCACUGGCCCGGUACUGACGCUGAGACGCGAAAGCGUGGGGAGCGAACAGG
rnacentral:rRNA from 1 species